AACGAACGCUGGCGGCAUGCCUAACACAUGCAAGUCGAGCGAGACCUUCGGGUCUAGUGGCGCACGGGUGCGUAACGCGUGGGAACCUGCCCUUAGGUUCGGAAUAACUCCCCGAAAGGGGUGCUAAUACCGGAUAAUGUCUUCGGACCAAAGAUUUAUCGCCUUUGGAUGGGCCCGCGUUGGAUUAGCUAGUUGGUAGGGUAAAAGCCUACCAAGGCGACGAUCCAUAGCUGGUCUGAGAGGAUGAUCAGCCACACUGGGACUGAGACACGGCCCAGACUCCUACGGGAGGUAGCAGUGGGGAAUAUUGGACAAUGGGCGAAAGCCUGAUCCAGCAAUGCCGCGUGAGUGAUGAAGGCCUUAGGGUUGUAAAGCUCUUUUACCCGGGAUGAUAAUGACAGUACCGGGAGAAUAAGCUCCGGCUAACUCCGUG
rnacentral:rRNA from 1 species